rnacentral:rRNA from 1 species
ACUAUCAUUAACUGAAUCCAUAGGUUAAUGAGGCGAACCGGGGGAACUGAAACAUCUAAGUACCCCGAGGAAAAGAAAUCAACCGAGAUUCCCCCAGUAGCGGCGAGCGAACGGGGAGCAGCCCAGAGCCUGAAUCAGUGUGUGUGUUAGUGGAAGCGUCUGGAAAGGCGCGCGAUACAGGGUGACAGCCCCGUACACAAAAAUGCACAUGCUGUGAGCUCGAUGAGUAGGGCGGGACACGUGGUAUCCUGUCUGAAUAUGGGGGGACCAUCCUCCAAGGCUAAAUACUCCUGACUGACCGAUAGUGAACCAGUACCGUGAGGGAAAGGCGAAAAGAACCCCGGCGAGGGGAGUGAAAAAGAACCUGAAACCGUGUACGUACAAGCAGUGGGAGCACGCUUCGGCGUGUGACUGCGUACCUUUUGUAUAAUGGGUCAGCGACUUAUAUUCUGUAGCAAGGUUAACCGAAUAGGGGAGCCGAAGGGAAACCGAGUCUUAACUGGGCGUUAAGUUGCAGGGUAUAGACCCGAAACCCGGUGAUCUAGCCAUGGGCAGGUUGAAGGUUGGGUAACACUAACUGGAGGACCGAACCGACUAAUGUUGAAAAAUUAGCGGAUGACUUGUGGCUGGGGGUGAAAGGCCAAUCAAACCGGGAGAUAGCUGGUUCUCCCCGAAAGCUAUUUAGGUAGCGCCUCGUGAAUUCAUCUCCGGGGGUAGAGCACUGUUUCGGCAAGGGGGUCAUCCCGACUUACCAACCCGAUGCAAACUGCGAAUACCGGAGAAUGUUAUCACGGGAGACACACGGCGGGUGCUAACGUCCGUCGUGAAGAGGGAAACAACCCAGACCGCCAGCUAAGGUCCCAAAGUCAUGGUUAAGUGGGAAACGAUGUGGGAAGGCCCAGACAGCCAGGAUGUUGGCUUAGAAGCAGCCAUCAUUUAAAGAAAGCGUAAUAGCUCACUGGUCGAGUCGGCCUGCGCGGAAGAUGUAACGGGGCUAAACCAUGCACCGAAGCUGCGGCAGCGACGCUUAUGCGUUGUUGGGUAGGGGAGCGUUCUGUAAGCCUGUGAAGGUGUGCUGUGAGGCAUGCUGGAGGUAUCAGAAGUGCGAAUGCUGACAUAAGUAACGAUAAAGCGGGUGAAAAGCCCGCUCGCCGGAAGACCAAGGGUUCCUGUCCAACGUUAAUCGGGGCAGGGUGAGUCGACCCCUAAGGCGAGGCCGAAAGGCGUAGUCGAUGGGAAACAGGUUAAUAUUCCUGUACUUGGUGUUACUGCGAAGGGGGGACGGAGAAGGCUAUGUUGGCCGGGCGACGGUUGUCCCGGUUUAAGCGUGUAGGCUGGUUUUCCAGGCAAAUCCGGAAAAUCAAGGCUGAGGCGUGAUGACGAGGCACUACGGUGCUGAAGCAACAAAUGCCCUGCUUCCAGGAAAAGCCUCUAAGCAUCAGGUAACAUCAAAUCGUACCCCAAACCGACACAGGUGGUCAGGUAGAGAAUACCAAGGCGCUUGAGAGAACUCGGGUGAAGGAACUAGGCAAAAUGGUGCCGUAACUUCGGGAGAAGGCACGCUGAUAUGUAGGUGAAGUCCCUCGCGGAUGGAGCUGAAAUCAGUCGAAGAUACCAGCUGGCUGCAACUGUUUAUUAAAAACACAGCACUGUGCAAACACGAAAGUGGACGUAUACGGUGUGACGCCUGCCCGGUGCCGGAAGGUUAAUUGAUGGGGUUAGCCGCAAGGCGAAGCUCUUGAUCGAAGCCCCGGUAAACGGCGGCCGUAACUAUAACGGUCCUAAGGUAGCGAAAUUCCUUGUCGGGUAAGUUCCGACCUGCACGAAUGGCGUAAUGAUGGCCAGGCUGUCUCCACCCGAGACUCAGUGAAAUUGAACUCGCUGUGAAGAUGCAGUGUACCCGCGGCAAGACGGAAAGACCCCGUGAACCUUUACUAUAGCUUGACACUGAACAUUGAGCCUUGAUGUGUAGGAUAGGUGGGAGGCUUUGAAGUGUGGACGCCAGUCUGCAUGGAGCCGACCUUGAAAUACCACCCUUUAAUGUUUGAUGUUCUAACGUUGACCCGUAAUCCGGGUUGCGGACAGUGUCUGGUGGGUAGUUUGACUGGGGCGGUCUCCUCCUAAAGAGUAACGGAGGAGCACGAAGGUUGGCUAAUCCUGGUCGGACAUCAGGAGGUUAGUGCAAUGGCAUAAGCCAGCUUGACUGCGAGCGUGACGGCGCGAGCAGGUGCGAAAGCAGGUCAUAGUGAUCCGGUGGUUCUGAAUGGAAGGGCCAUCGCUCAACGGAUAAAAGGUACUCCGGGGAUAACAGGCUGAUACCGCCCAAGAGUUCAUAUCGACGGCGGUGUUUGGCACCUCGAUGUCGGCUCAUCACAUCCUGGGGCUGAAGUAGGUCCCAAGGGUAUGGCUGUUCGCCAUUUAAAGUGGUACGCGAGCUGGGUUUAGAACGUCGUGAGACAGUUCGGUCCCUAUCUGCCGUGGGCGCUGGAGAACUGAGGGGGGCUGCUCCUAGUACGAGAGGACCGGAGUGGACGCAUCACUGGUGUUCGGGUUGUCAUGCCAAUGGCACUGCCCGGUAGCUAAAUGCGGAAGAGAUAAGUGCUGAAAGCAUCUAAGCACGAAACUUGCCCCGAGAUGAGUUCU